rnacentral:rRNA from 1 species
AGAGUUCAAGAGUACGUGAAACUGUGUAGUAGUAAACGGAGGGGUUCUCGAAGUCGGCGUUGACGGUUCAGGGUGGCGGCUGCUGAGCUUGGGGGCUGUUGAUCUGCAAAGACUUCGCUCUCUGGUAGCGGUGGCUGACGCCUGCACUCCGUUGGCGCCUCACGCAACGAACCGUUCGGACCGGACCGAGGCUGCGGGUGAAGUUUCAGGCCUAGCUUGGAGCCCCGCAUUCCUGGCUCUGGACCGGACGGGUAUUGGAGCGGUCUCUUAUAGAGAGUGUCUUUUUGGCACGGGCUGCAUCUCUGUUGCGAGUAGGUCGGCGACCCCUCCGACCCGUCUUGAAACACGG